AGCGACGGACGGGUGAGUAACACGUGGGUAACCUGCCCAAGAGACUGGGAUAACACCUGGAAACAGAUGCUAAUACCGGAUAACAACACUAGACGCAUGUCUAGAGUUUGAAAGAUGGUUCUGCUAUCACUCUUGGAUGGACCUGCGGUGCAUUAGCUAGUUGGUAAGGUAACGGCUUACCAAGGCAAUGAUGCAUAGCCGAGUUGAGAGACUGAUCGGCCACAUUGGGACUGAGACACGGCCCAAACUCCUACGGGAGGCAGCAGUAGGGAAUCUUCCACAAUGGACGAAAGUCUGAUGGAGCAACGCCGCGUGAGUGAAGAAGGGUUUCGGCUCGUAAAGCUCUGUUGGUAGUGAAGAAAGAUAGAGGUAGUAACUGGCCUUUAUUUGACGGUAAUUACUUAGAAAGUCACGGCUAACUACGUGCCAGCAGCCGCGGUAAUACGUAGGUGGCAAGCGUUGACCGGAUUUAUUGGGCGUAAAGCGAGUGCAGGCGGUUCAAUAAGUCUGAUGUGAAAGCCUUCGGCUCAACCGGAGAAUUGCAUCAGAAACUGUUGAACUUGAGUGCAGAAGAGGAGAGUGGAACUCCAUGUGUAGCGGUGGAAUGCGUAGAUAUAUGGAAGAACACCAGUGGCGAAAGGCGGCUCUCUGGUCUGCAACUGACGCUGAGGCUCGAAAGCAUGGGUAGUGAACAGGAUUAGAUACCCUGGGUAGUCCAUGCCGUAAACGAUGAGUGCUAAGUGU
rnacentral:rRNA from 1 species